UUUUUUUUUUUUUUUUUUUUUUUACCCCCUCAUACCUUUGUCCUUUGAGAGAGACAGUUAAGUAGGUAAGGUCUUCCCAAGUCCUCAUACAUUACACUCUGGACAAAAGGCCUUGUGUUUGAAAGAGGCCUGAUCUACACCCCUCAUGUCCUCGGCACCAAUGAAGCACAAUGACAGGAGAAAAAACUUGGUCUUUAAGCCUCUGUGCCUGGCAAUCUUGUGAUAUCUUUUUUUUUUUUUUUGAGACAGGGUCUUGCUCUGUCACCCAGGCUGAAGUUCAGUGGUGCCGUCUUGGCUCACUGCAUCCUCCGCCUCCAGUUUCAAGUGAUUCUCCUGCCUCAGCCUCCUGAGUAGCUGGGAUUACAGGUGCCCGCCAACACACCCGGCUAAUUUUUGUAUUUUUAGUGGAGACGGCGUUUCACCAUGUUGUCCAGGCAUGUCUCGAACUCCUGACCUCAGGUGAUCUGCCCACCUUGGCCUCCCAAAGUGUUGGGAUUACAGGCGUUAGCCACCAUGCCUGGCCUUUGUGAUGGCAUCUUAAUUUUUACUCCUAAUGAUGCUCUAUUUUAGCUGCAAGAAAGCUCAAUAGAAGUCGGUCACCUGGCUCCUAGAGAGUAGGAACAGAUGAAGAUGUGAAUCAUUAGGGGGCAGAGGGCGGACUAUGGGCUCCAAGAUGGCCUCCAGAGAUUCUCUUCCUCCUGAUAUUCAUGUCCUUGUGUAGUACCAACCCACACUGAAUAGGGCUGAUCUGUGUGAUAACAGGAUAUUGCAUAAAUGAUGGAGUAUAACUUCCCAGCCUAGGCCAUAAAAGACAUUGCGAUUUCUGUCUUGUUUUCUCAUCCGUCACUAGCUCUAGGGAAAGCCUGCUGUCAUGUUGAAAGGAUACUAACAUAGUCCUAUGAAGGCCUGCAUUGUGAGCUGAGGCCUCCUGCCCACAGCCAGCACCAACUUUCCAGCCAUAUGAGCAAGCCACCUUGGAACUGGAUACCUCAGCCCACUACACUUUCAGAGGACUGCAACCUCUUGAAAGAUUCUGAGCCAGAACCCCCCAGCUAAUCAAUCCUGAAUUCCUGACUCACAGAAACUGGGAUAAUACAUACAUACUUAUUACUGUUUAAGCUGAAAUACCUAGCAAUAGGCCUCUAAUGUGGUAGAUGAGUAUUUUGUAUGAUGUUUUGUCAUUGAAAUGGCUCUUGAUUUUCAAGUCAUUCCUUUAGAAUCUGGCUGUUUCUCUGAAGCUCUAUGCUUACCACAUCUCUUGUACUUAUUCUGGCAUACACAACCAGAAAGGUGGCUUCUCUCUAGGGGUAAACAACCAGAGAGUGAUAAAGAACUUAGUAAGUUCUCACUAUAAUAACCACAGAGAAAGGAUGCUUCUUGUUACGUUCAUUUUACUUUUUUUUUUGAGACGGAGUCUUGCUCCGUCUCCCAGGGUGGAGUGCAGUGGCGCGAUCUCGGCUCACUGCAAGCUCCACCUCUGGGUUCACGCCAUUCUCCUGCCUCAGCCUCCCAAGUACCUGGGACUACAGGCGCCCGCCACCAUGCAUGGCUAAUUUUUUGUAUUUUUAGUAGAGAUGGGGUUUCACCAUGUUAGCCAGGAUGGUCUCGAUCUGCUGACCUCGUGAUCUGCCCGCCUUGGCCUCCCAAAGUGCUGGGAUUACAGGAGUGAGCCACUGCGCCUGGCCUCAUUUUACUUUUUGGGGGAAAAAAAAAAUCUAAGUUUAAUCAUAGGUUUACCUUACUCUGCUCCAAGGCAAUUUUUCAAUUUUUUAAAAAAUAAAUGUUUUCUUAAGUAUAAUACCCAGAAAAGUACACAAAAUGUCUUGAUAACAUAUUACAACACCCAUGUAAUCCCUACCCAGAUCAAAGAAACAGAAUAUCAUUAGCCUUCUAGAAGCCUAUCUGGUCAUCGUCAUUUUCUUUUCCUUUUUUUUUUUUUUUUU
rnacentral:lncRNA from 1 species